CCGGCGCACGGGUGAGUAGCGCGUAUCCAACCUGCCCAUCACUUGGGAAUAACCUUGCGAAAGUAAGACUAAUACCCAAUGAUAUCUCUAUAAGACAUCUGAAAGAGAUUAAAGAUUUAUCGGUGAUGGAUGGGGAUGCGUCUGAUUAGCUUGUUGGCGGGGUAACGGCCCACCAAGGCAACGAUCAGUAGGGGUUCUGAGAGGAAGGUCCCCCACAUUGGAACUGAGACACGGUCCAA
rnacentral:rRNA from 1 species